AAUGAACGCUGGCGGCAGGCCUAACACAUGCAAGUCGAACGGAUCCUUCGGGAUUAGUGGCGGACGGGUGAGUAACGCGUGGGAACAUACCCUUUGGUACGGAAUAGCCUCGGGAAACUGGGAGUAAUACCGUAUGUGGUCGAGAGACGAAAGAUUUAUCGCCAAAGGAUUGGCCCGCGUUGGAUUAGGUAGUUGGUGGGGUAAUGGCCUACCAAGCCGACGUUCCAUAGCUGGUUUGAGAGGAUGAUUAGCCACACUGGGACUGAGAAACGGCCCAGACUCCUACGGGAGGCAGCAGUGGGGAAUAUUAGACAAUGGGGGAAACCCUGAUCUAGCCAUGCCGCGUGAUCGAUGAAGGCCUUAGGGUUGUAAAGAUCUUUCAGGUGGGAAGAUAAUGACUGUGCCACCAGAAGAAGCCCCGGCUAACUCCGUGCCAGCAGCCGCCGUAA
rnacentral:rRNA from 1 species